UACGUAGGGGGCAAGCGUUGUCCGGAUUUAUUGGGCGUAAAGAGCGUGUAGGCGGCUAGGUAGGUCCGUUGUGAAAACUCGAGGCUCAACCUCGAGACGCCGAUGGAAACCAUCUGGCUAGAGUCCGGAAGAGGAGAGUGGAAUUCCUGGUGUAGCGGUGAAAUGCGCAGAUAUCAGGAAGAACACCUGUGGCUAAGGCGGCUCUCUAGUACGGUACUGACGCUGAGACGCGAAAGCGUGGGGAGCGAACAGG
rnacentral:rRNA from 1 species